UGAGUAAGCCAGAUGAUCGCGUGUAUGAUGCCGAAAGGCUGUAUACGAGGAAAGUCCGGGCUCCAUAGGGCAGGGUGCCGGGUAAUUCCCGGUGAAGGCGACUUCAAGGAAAGUGCAACAGAAAUAUACCGCCUAUCAAAGAUUUUGGACGGGUAUCGAAGACUUUCGAUUUUCCGCUUUGCUUUGAUAUGGUAAGGGUGGAAAGGUGAGGUAAGAGCUCACCAGCGGCAUGGCGACUUGCUGGCUAUGUAAACCCCAUCUGGAGCAACACCGUAAAGAGGGACAUUUAAGGUUGCCCGCCAGUCCCGGGUAGGUGGCUUGAGUUAUAUAGAAAUAUAUAGCCUAGAUAGAUGAUCAUCAAAUACAGAACCCGGCUUAUAGGCUUACUCAUAUA
rnacentral:RNase_P_RNA from 1 species